GCCAGCGUGGCGCAGUUGGUAAGACUGUUAACCAGGGCGGCACAUAGGGGUGUUGCGGGUUCGAAUCCCGCCGCUGGCA
rfam:Emmonsia pasteuriana TAMH 9510 supercont1.1365, whole genome shotgun sequence.